rnacentral:lncRNA from 1 species
GCAAGUUGUCCCAAAAGUCAGGAGUAACAGCAUUUCAAGAAGGAGGCAGCGAUAAAUUCUGUCAGUGGCUGCUCAUGGAUUAAGUAUAAUGAGAACUGAGAACUACCCUUUUGUUUGGCACUGGGAAACAAUUGGUGACCUCAGCCUCAUGUCACUAGAAGCUACAGUAUUGGACAGCACAGCUGCAGAGUGUCUGUUCUUUGAGGAUUCUCUGUUCUCCAAAUGUAAAAUCAAGAAUGAGAACGCUGGCAGAAGUAAGGAAAGAUGAGACCUGUUUUGAAAACGAAGUUUUAGAGGAACUAUGUGAACAGAUUGUGUUCUUCAGGGGCCUGGCACAUGAUGACAUCUAACACCCAUGGCCAACAGCAUUCAUAAUCACCAAUACGCAGCAUCAUACUCUGUCUACUGGCAAUUCCCAGAGAUCCAAGAAAUAUGUAAAACACUGGCUAGAAAGUGUUCUUGUGGCACGAGGCGGUGCUCAUCAGGUGGCUUUAGGGUGCACUGGUCACCUGUUACGUGCAGGUCUCCUGGAGGACCUGAGUCCCUGCCCCAGCUCAGCCCACACCACCUCUGUCACCCUGAGACUUAUAACCAGGCCAGGCGCGAUGGCUCAUGCCUAUAAUCUCAGCACGAUGGGAGGCCGAGGCGAGUGGAUCACUUGAGGUCAGGAGUUCAAGACCAGCCUAGCCAACAUCUCUACUAAAAAUAUACAAAAAUUAGCUGGGCGUGGUGGUACACGACUGUAGUCCCAGCUACUUGGGAGACUGAGGCAGGCGAAUUGCUUGAACCCGGGAGGUGGAGGUUGCAGUGAGCUGAGAUCGCGCCACUGCACUCCAGUCUGAGUGACGGAGCAAGACCCCAGCUCAAAAAAAAAAAAAAGGCCAUUGAGUCCCUGUCUCUUCAGUAGUACUCUCCUUAAGGUCAUUGGGAGGAUUAAAUGAGAUAGUGUAAUGUACA